rnacentral:rRNA from 1 species
UACGUAGGGUGCGAGCGUUUAAUCGGAAUUACUGGGCGUAAAGCGUGCGCAGGCGGUUUUGUAAGCCAGAUGUGAAAUCCCCGGGCUUAACCUGGGAAUGGCAUUUGGGACUGCAAGGCUGGAGUGCGGCAGAGGAGACUGGAAUUCCUGGUGUAGCAGUGAAAUGCGUAGAUAUCAGGAGGAAUACCGAUGGCGAAGGCAGGUCUCUGGGCCACUACUGACGCUGAGGAGCGAAAGCGUGGGGAGCAAACAGG